GAUGAACGCUGGCGGCGUGCCUAAUACAUGCAAGUCGAGCGAACAGAUGAGGAGCUUGCUCCUCUGACGUUAGCGGCGGACGGGUGAGUAACACGUGGAUAACCUACCUAUAAGACUGGGAUAACUUCGGGAAACCGGAGCUAAUACCGGAUAAUAUAUUGAACCGCAUGGUUCAAUAGUGAAAGACGGUUUUGCUGUCACUUAUAGAUGGAUCCGCGCCGCAUUAGCUAGUUGGUAAGGUAACGGCUUACCAAGGCAACGAUGCGUAGCCGACCUGAGAGGGGGAGCGGCCACACGGGAGCUGAGACACGGGCCAGACUCCUACGGGAGGCAGCAGUAGGGAAUCUUCCGCAAUGGGCGAAAGCCUGACGGAGCAACGCCGCGUGAGUGAUGAAGGUCUUCGGAUCGUAAAACUCUGUUAUUAGGGAAGAACAAAUGUGUAAGUAACUAUGCACGUCUUGACGGUACCUAAUCAGAAAGCCACGGCUAACUACGUG
rnacentral:rRNA from 1 species